rnacentral:misc_RNA from 1 species
GUCCUGGUUAGAAACUUAAGGUCCACAGCAUAUAGACUUGCACUUGCUUCUAUCGUCCUCGAACAAUGGGAAGAUGAUGUUGAAUAUAUGUGAUUAUACAAGGGGUUCGCGAUGGUUAUUUACAGUAUUUAUGCAGAAAACUCUCCAUGAAAAGAGACGAAAAAAUUCCAAUCUCAUGUUUGGUAUGUAUUUUUUUUCAUUAAGAUUGUAUUUAUCCAAAGAGCAAUUAGUCUUAGUUGAAACUCUGAUGUGAGACUCUGCUACAUUGUAUUUGGUUUAGUUUU